rnacentral:rRNA from 1 species
GACGAACGCUGGCGGCGUGCUUAACACAUGCAAGUCGAACGGAAAGGCCCUGCUUUUGUGGGGUGCUCGAGUGGCGAACGGGUGAGUAACACGUGAGUAACCUGCCCUUGACUUUGGGAUAACUUCAGGAAACUGGGGCUAAUACCGGAUAGGAGCUCCUGCUGCAUGGUGGGGGUUGGAAAGUUUCGGCGGUUGGGGAUGGACUCGCGGCUUAUCAGCUUGUUGGUGGGGUAGUGGCUUACCAAGGCUUUGACGGGUAGCCGGCCUGAGAGGGUGACCGGCCACAUGGUGACUGAGAUACGGCCCAGACUCCUACGGGAGGCAGCAGUGGGGAAUAUGGCACAAUGGGCGGAAGCCUGAUGCAGCAACGCCGCGUGCGGGAUGACGGCCUUCGGGUUGGAAACCGCUUUCGCCUGUGACGAAGCGUGAGUGACGGUAAUGGGUAAAGAAGCACCGGCUAACUACGU